GCGCAUCGACCAGUUGACUGUGUCACUGUUUCCAAGUGAAUCUUGAAGAAUUGUGCCGAGUCUGAAAAUAUGAAUUGGAUAUUAGCCAACUCUAAGCCUUGUCCAAAAUGCAAACGACCCAUUGAGAAAAAUCAUGGGUGUAUGCAUAUUACCUGCACACCUCCUUGCAAAUUCGAGCUUUGCUGGCUCUGCCUUGGUGCUUGGUCAGAUCACGGAGAAAGGACAUGAGGUUUUUAUGCGUGCAAUCGCUACGAGACAGC